UACAGAGGUCUCAAGCGUUGUUCGGAUUCAUUGGGCGUAAAGGGUGCGUAGGCGGCGCGGUAAGUCGGGGUGUGAAAUCUCGGGGCUUAACUCCGAAACUGCAUUCGAUACUGCCGUGCUUGAGGACUGGAGAGGAGACUGGAAUUACGGUGUAGCGGUGAAAUGCGUAGAUAUCGUAAGGAAGACCAGUGGCGAAGGCGGGUCUCGUGGACAGUUCCUGACGCUGAGGCACGAAGGCCAGGGAGCAAACGGG
rnacentral:rRNA from 1 species